rnacentral:rRNA from 1 species
UACGGAGGGAGCUAGCGUUGUUCGGAAUUACUGGGCGUAAAGCGCACGUAGGCGGCUAUUCAAGUCAGAGGUGAAAGCCCGGGGCUCAACCCCGGAACUGCCUUUGAAACUAGGUAGCUAGAAUCUUGGAGAGGUCAGUGGAAUUCCGAGUGUAGAGGUGAAAUUCGUAGAUAUUCGGAAGAACACCAGUGGCGAAGGCGGCUCACUGGACUGGUAUUGACGCUGAGGUGCGAAAGCGUGGGGAGCAACAGGG